rnacentral:rRNA from 1 species
AUUGAACGCUGGCGGCAGGCUUAACACAUGCAAGUCGAGCGGAGCGAGGGUGCUUGCACCUUAGCUUAGCGGCGGACGGGUGAGUAAUGCUUAGGAAUCUGCCUAUUAGUGGGGGACAACAUUCCGAAAGGAAUGCUAAUACCGCAUACGCCCUACGGGGGAAAGCAGGGGAUCUUCGGACCUUGCGCUAAUAGAUGAGCCUAAGUCGGAUUAGCUAGUUGGUGGGGUAAAGGCCUACCAAGGCGACGAUCUGUAGCGGGUCUGAGAGGAUGAUCCGCCACACUGGGACUGAAACACGGCCCAGACUCCUGCGGGAGGCAGCAGUGGGGAAUAUUGGACAAUGGGCGGAAGCCUGAUCCAGCCAUGCCGCGUGUGUGAAGAAGGCCUUUUGGUUGUAAAGCACUUUAAGCGAGGAGGAGGCUACUUAGAUUAAUACUCUGGGAUAGUGGACGUUACUCGCAGAAUAAGCACCGGCUAACUCUGUGCCAGCCGCCGCAGUAAAAC